rnacentral:rRNA from 1 species
GUAGGGAAUAUUGCACAAUGGGCGAAAGCCUGAUGCAGCAACGCCGCGUGUACGAAGAAGGUCUUCGGAUCGUAAAGUACUUUUCUGGGAGAUGAGGAAGGACAGUAUCCCGGGAAUAAGAUUCGGCUAACUACGUGCCAGCAGCCGCGGUAACACGUAGGAAUCGAGCGUUAUCCGAAUUUACUGGGCGUAAAGCGCGUGCAGGUGGCACUACAAGUUGGAUGUGAAAGCUCCUGGCUCAACUGGGAGAGGCCGUUCAAAACUGUAGAGCUUGAGUAUGGCAGAGGAAGGUGGAAUUCCCGGUGGAGUAGUGAAAUGCGUAGAUAUCGGGAGGAACACCAGUGGCGAAGGCGGCCUUCUGGGCCAUUACUGACGCUAAGACGCGAAAGCUAGGGUAGCGAAUGGGAUUAGAUACCCUGGUAGUCC